ACGCGUGUGAUGGAGGGACUUGCCGGAUUCGAGGGAGAGUGUUCGAGGCCCCGCGUGGCCGCCGGCGGGUCUGCGCGUCAGGUGCGCGGUGUGUGGUACGAUCGCGUCUUUGGUGCCACCAGGAGACUUGAAUGCAAGACCCCAGCAUCAAGAGUCAUAUGAUCUUCCGACCGAACCAGAGGGGCACCCAGCAAAAAUGUUUUAAACAAGAUGACAAGGAGUUUCCACUUGUGGAGGACAGCUCUCUGCCAAGUCCCCCAGACCACAGGCAGUUGGACCUUGGUGUGCCACGUUUGAAACGCUCCUGGACCUGACACAUCCCAGAACGGCAUGGUCCAGUGUGGUCGAGCUUCCGAUGUCCUGGAUGCUGUUCAGGCCAUGUGAGGCCUGGUCCCUGAGUGGGGAAGCCACCUCUGCCCACGCGGUACGGCUGUCCUUGACCUGGAGUCCAGAGCUCCUGUCUCUGGAACUGGUCUUGUUUGCCUCAGACCGUGUAUUCUGUCAUCUUCUUUGAAUCAUUUCAUCUGAGAUUUGUCAGUGUCUGCAUUGUUGCACAUUUCAAGGAUGUCAGCACCUCUAAGUUAACUUAGACAUUUAACUUAAACCCAGUAAAAAUGCCAGUACUGUUUUCCUCUUUGGAAAUAGAUAAGUUGGUAGAAAUGUCAAAAUGAAAAAAAUAUACAUACGAGAAUGCCUAGGAAUAGGAAUGCUCUGAAAAACAAAAGCUGUGAACAUGUGCUAAACCUGACGAUGUUAAAGUAUUAGAAAAAGUUU